CGCGUAGGCGGACAUUUAAGUCAGGGGUGAAAUCCCGGGGCUCAACCCGGAACUGCCCUUGAUACUAGGUGUCUUGAGUUCGAGAGAGGUGAGUGGAAUUCCGAGUGUAGAGGUGAAAUUCGUAGAUAUUCGGAGGAACACCAGUGGCGAAGGCGGCUCACUGGCUCGAUACUGACGCUGAGGUGCGAAAGUGUGGGGAGCAAACA
rnacentral:rRNA from 1 species